rnacentral:misc_RNA from 1 species
AUGUUUUACUAUGCUACUGGUGAGCUAUUCAAGUGUUUUGAUGGCACUUUUAAGAAGAAUGGAGCUCAAAUUUGGUUAGACCAGUCUCACAAGAUACAAGAAGUUUAUAAGAGUCAUAUCUGCAUGUAAACUGCUAGUCACUAGAAACUGAGCAAUUUAUUUGACAUUGUAGUCACAAUAAGUUGUUAUAUGCACUGGAAAUGUAAGAGUUUUUUUCAUGAUGCAUGUGUGACUAUUCAAGUGUUUUGAUGGCACUUUUAAGAAGAAUGGAGCUCAAAUUUGGUUAGACCAGUCUCACAAGAUACAAGAAGUUUAUAAGAGUCAUAUCUGCAUGUAAACUGCUAGUCACUAGAAACUGAGCAAUUUAUUUGACAUUGUAGUCACAAUAAGUUGUUAUAUGCACUGGAAAUGUAAGAGUUUUUUUCAUGAUGCAUGUGUGA